ACAAAUGUAGCAAUAGCUUAAGUUCUAUUGAUCAGUCUUCAUCUAAUCCAAAUCUUACAAAUGGAGUAAUAGCUUGAAUGUUGUGAUCAAGGAUUCUUGCAAUCAUUCUUCUGAGUAAGCAUUCAAGGCACAUAAAUUUUUUGCCUGGCUUUCAAUUUGUGUCUGAACAGGAAAAGUUGAAUAUGUUGUGAGACAAUGCAUUUAACUUUCUUUUUCUUUUGUGUAUGAAGUUGGUAGGAAGAAGAAGAUUGAGAAAGCCAAAGGAGUGCUUCUGUUCACUCAGAUUCUGAUGCAUUAAUGAGAGGUAGAUGGAUUGAUGAGAGAAAAAGUGUUUAUUGCUUCACCGUCUCUUGCCCUGUUCCAACUUAUUUCCUUUUAGAAUAUUCAAUUACUUCAUGGCCUGGUCAUUAAACCACUGUAAGGUGGUAUAUGUCACAUCCUACUUCUCAUCCUGUUGUAGCUAUGGAUCAGACAACUCAGAUAUGAAGAAGAAGUCAUCUUUGAUAAGUAACCUGAAAAAGAGAAACAGAGAUCAUGAAAAGAAAACCUCAAGUCUUUUCUUCAACUACAUAGUCAUGUUUUUAUUACAAUUGAAAAUUCCUUUUUGUUAUGGCUAACAGUGGCACAAUGCCAUAUUUAACAUAUCAGUCAUGAGCAUCACAUGCAUCAAAUGAAUGACAUUGAGAUGACAUUGGCAGCAUGGAUGUGCCUUGGAUACUCCUAGAAAGUACAAAACUACACCCCAUGAGGGAGACAAGUACACAACUCAAAUAACUCUUCUACUUUAAAAGCUUUCAAUUCCAGUAGAGAUACAGGGAGUUGUAUUAGGAAUCAUGUGUUCAAAAGGAAAAGAUGUUCAUGGACAGAGAGGCCACCUGUGUGUUUUUUUUUUUUCAGGAUUCCACUCUCUUGUGAGCUAAGAAACUCUAUCACACACACAUAUGUUGAGUGUCCUGCAGCAGCCUAAAGACAUCUUUAACAUGCUUCCUCUGCCACAUGCUCAGUUGACCAUCCAUGUAUGGUUGAUUGAAAUGAAUGCAUUCUUUUGGGCAGAGGUGAGAGAACAGUAAAACAAUUGGAAGAAGUAGGCACAAUGUUCUGUCACACAAGACUGAGUUCAGGUAAUGUUAAAGUCAGAUGAGAUUCUACUCUUCCAUGGCAUGACACUUCUUUUUGGAGUAGACAUUUUUGUCUGAGGUAGAACGGUCAUUGCCUGAUUCAGGAAGAACUUAUUCUGCAAGCUGAGCUUGAUGCAUUUGCUGGUGAUGCCAAGCGCCAUUAUCAGACUCAAUGCAGCAUGAGCUGACUUCUUCUUCUUCUUCUCCUUGUAAUCAAUCAUCUAACAAGCACACAACUAAUGCAUUAUUGUAUCUGAAAACUUCUCAACAUCUUCAUCUGAGUGGACUACCAAGGAAACAGUUCAUUUCAGCAUUUUUUGAGAGCUCAACAAAGAUUUUCUCUGUUCAUCAACAUCAUGCUUUGUAUGGAAGAUGAGACAAGCCUUUGCCUUUGUUUUCUGAAU